rnacentral:rRNA from 1 species
GACGAACGCUGGCGGCGUGCCUAAUACAUGCAAGUAGGACGCAGUUGCGAACGGGUGAGUAACGCGUAGGUAACUGCCUAUUAGAGGGGGAUAACUAUUGGAAACGAUAGCUAAUACCGCAUACUAGUAGAUGGACCUGCGUUGUAUUAGCUAGUAGGUAGGGUAAUGGCCUACCUAGGCGACGAUACAUAGCCGACCUGAGAGGGUGUACGGCCAAACUGGGAAUGGAGCACCGCCCAGACCCCCACGGGGGGCAGCAGUAGGGAAUCUUCGGAAAUGGGGGGAACCCUGACCGAGCAACGCCGCGUGAGUGAAGAAGGUUUUCGGAUCGUAAAGCUCUGUUGUUAAGGAAGCGGUACCUAACCAGAAAGGGACGGCUAACUACGUGCCAGCAGCCGCGGUAAUAC